rnacentral:rRNA from 1 species
AUUGAACGCUGGCGGCAUGCCUUACACAUGCAAGUCGAACGGUAACAGGUCUUCGGAUGCUGACGAGUGGCGAACGGGUGAGUAAUACAUCGGAACGUGCCUAGUAGUGGGGGAUAACUACUCGAAAGAGUGGCUAAUACCGGAUGAGAUUUACGGAUGAAAGCAGGGGAUCGCCAGCCCUUGUGCUACUAGAGCGGCCGAUGGCAGAUUAGGUAGUUGGUAGGAUAAAAGCUUACCAAGCCGACGAUCUGUAGCUGGUCUGAGAUGGACGAUCAGCCACACUGGGACUGAGACACGGCCCAGACUCCUACGGGAGGCAGCAGUGGGGAAUUUUGGACAAUGGGCGCAAGCCUGAUCCAGCAAUGCCGCGUGCAGGAUGAAGGCCUUCGGGUUGUAAACUGCUUUUGUACGGAACGAAAAGCCCUGGGUUAAUACCCUGGGGUCAUGACGGUACCGUAAGAAUAAGCACCGGCUAACUACGUGCCAGCCGCCGCGGUAAGAC